rnacentral:rRNA from 1 species
AUACGAAGGUGGCAAGCGUUGUUCGGAAUCACUGGGCAUAAAGCGCGCGUAGGCGGCCCUGAAAGUCGGGUGUGAAAGCCCUCAGCUCAACUGAGGAAUAGCGCCCGAUACUCUGGGGCUUGAGGUCUGGAGGGGAGAACGGAAUUCCUGGUGGAGCGGUGAAAUGCGUAGAGAUCAGGAGGAACGCCGGCGGCGAAAGCGGUUCUCUGGACAGAUCCUGACGCUGAGGCGCGAAAGCUAGGGGAGCAAACGGGAUUAGAUACCCCGGUAGUCCUAGCCGUAAACGAUGGGUGCUAGGUAGUGACGGUUCCUAUUCCGGCACUGCUGGAGCUAAUGUUUUAAGCACCCCGCCUGGGGAGUACGGCCGCAAGGCUAAA